rnacentral:rRNA from 1 species
UAGGGAAUCUUCGGCAAUGGACGAAAGUCUGACCGAGCAACGCCGCGCGAGUGAAGAAGGUUUUCGGAUCGUAAAACUCUGUUGUUAGAGAAGAACAAGGACGUUAGUAACUGAACGUCCCCUGACGGUAUCUAACCAGAAAGCCACGGCUAACUACGUGCCAGCAGCCGCGGUAAUACGUAGGUGGCAAGCGUUGUCCGGAUUUAUUGGGCGUAAAGCGAGCGCAGGCGGUUUCUUAAGUCUGAUGUGAAAGCCCCCGGCUCAACCGGGGAGGGUCAUUAGAAACGGGGAGACUUGAGUGCAGGAGAGGAGAGUGGAAUUCCGUGUGUAGCGGUGAAAUGCGUAGAUAUAUGGAGGAACACCAGUGGCGAAGGCGGCUCUCUGGUCUGUAACUGACGCUGAGGCUCGAGAGCGUGGGGAGCAAACAGG